UACGUAGGGGGCUAGCGUUGUCCGGAAUCAUUGGGCGUAAAGAGCGCGUAGGCGGCCAGAUAAGUCCGGUGUGAAAGUCACAGGCUCAACCUGUGAAUGCCGCUGGAAACUGUCUGGCUAGAGUCCGGAAGGGGCGAGUGGAAUUCCUGGUGUAGCGGUGAAAUGCGCAGAUAUCAGGAGGAACACCAAUGGCGAAGGCAGCUCGCUGGGACGGUACUGACGCUGAGGCGCGAAAGUGUGGGGAGCGAACAGG
rnacentral:rRNA from 1 species